rnacentral:rRNA from 1 species
UACGGGGGGUGCGAGCGUUGUCCGGAAUCACUGGGCGUAAAGGGCGCGUAGGUGGUUUGAUAAGGGUGUGGUGAAAGUCCGGGGCUCAACCCCGGAUCUGCCGUGCCGACUGUCAAACUCGAGGGCUGUAGAGGCAGACGGAAUUCCGGGUGUAGCGGUGGAAUGCGUAGAGAUCCGGAGGAACACCAGUGGCGAAGGCGAUCUUCUGGACCAUUUCUGACGCUCAGACGCGACAGCUAGGGUAGGCAAACGGG